rnacentral:rRNA from 1 species
UGGGGAAUAUUGGACAAUGGGCGAAAGCCUGAUCCAGCCAUGCCGCGUGUGUGAAGAAGGUCUUCGGAUUGUAAAGCACUUUAAGUUGGGAGGAAGGGCAGUAAGCGAAUACCUUGCUGUUUUGACGUUACCGACAGAAUAAGCACCGGCUAACUCUGUGCCAGCAGCCGCGGUAAUACAGAGGGUGCAAGCGUUAAUCGGAAUUACUGGGCGUAAAGCGCGCGUAGGUGGUUCGUUAAGUUGAAUGUGAAAGCCCCGGGCUCAACCUGGGAACUGCAUCCAAAACUGGCGAGCUAGAGUAGGGCAGAGGGUGGUAGAAUUCCAGGUGUAGCGGUGAAAUGCGUAGAGAUCUGGAGGAAUACCGAUGGCGAAGGCAGCCAUCUGGCCUAACACUGACGCUGAGGUACGAAAGCAUGGGGAGCAAACAGG